UUUUUAUACUUGUUAUUUCAAUAAAGUCAGUAGUGCUUCUGAGAAGAAAUAUUAGGAAGCUUUCUAAAAAUAUCACGUCUUUGCAAAAAUGUUCAGAUUUGAAAAUGAAAUGUGUCCCUAAUAAUUGAAUCCCACUGAAAACCAAUUCAUCGCUGUUCUAAGGAGCAAAGAAAAUUGCAUGAUCGCUGUCUUUGGAGGAAGCCAACUGCCUUGUCACGAGGACACUCAAACCACCGUUUGGAGAGGUCUGUAUGGCAAGGAACUGAAGCCUCCUGCCAACCGCCAGCAUGAACCUCUCAGGCUUGCAUCUGGAGUUGGAUCUUCCAUCCUCAGUCAACCCUUCGGUUGACCGCAGUCUCAGCCCAUAUCUUGACUGAACUUCAUGAGAAACACUGAGUUGGAAUCUACCAGUCUGAAGAGAACUGGUCCGGCUGACCAUCCUGCAGGAUGUCACCCUGGCCCACUCUAUCAAUGUCUCAUGCCAAUCAAAUGGAUGAGCAAAAGGCUGCAAGUGUACUGGGGAUAAUGGCAAAACAAUGGAAGAUAAACACAUUUCAGAGUCUCGCCACAUCAUUAUAGGAAUCUAGUGAUCUGAGACACGCUGGAGCUUGCCCUCAAAAAUACAGGACAAAGGACUGGAUCUCGCAUCUUCCACCAGGAAGAAGGAAGCACAAUGCAGAUGGAAAAAACUGAUGUUCAGAGAUAAUAACUGCCCUGUUCAGGGUCAUCGAGCCAGCUGGUGAGGGAGGUUCUGGUUUCCAGACGAGUUUUCUGUCUGUGGUUCUCUGGGCGUCGUCUCAGGCUGUGGAAGGAAAGAAGAGCCGAGUCAACCAGCAGGGGGCGCCUGCCUCUACUCUGCAUUUGGCCAUCAGCCUGUCCAGAGCAGCCUUCUGCCUGCCAUCAGCCUGCCUGAGUGCCCGGAGCUGUGACUGGUCUCGCUGCACACCGAUCAGCGCUGCUCAUUUCUGCCCAGUCUCCAGCAAGAAAUGGACAGGCGUCAGCACCUGUAGGUGGAGACCAUCAAUUUCAAGCCUUGUGCUAAUAAUAACCUUCUCCUUCCACCAUAACGCAAAUGUGGAGCUUGUCAUAGAGGUUUAUCGCUGUGGCACGAAUAUUGAUUUUUUUUUUUCAAAUAUGCCUUUAUGAUGCAUGCUUGCUCCAGCAGGACUCAGUUUUGUUGUGUUUCUUUUUUCUGCUGUAUUAUUUAUUAGGAUCCCUUCUUCUGCAACAAGAGACUCUGUAAAUUGCAAAUUCAUUCAACCACAACAAGUUUGUAUUGAGUACUUUCUAUGUGCCAGGAACCAUGCAUAGGGCACUUAACAAAAAUCCCAGCCCUCACAGAACCUCCCUUCUAGGGAGGGAGACAGACAGUAAACAAAAUAAAUUGGGGAAAUAUAUGAUUUGCCACAUGGCAAUAAGUGCCAUGAAGGAAAACAAAGCAGAGAAGGGGAAUAGGGAGUUGGUAGGCAGUGGGUGAUGUGUGGUCUGGGGGAAGUUCACAUUGUAA